CUCAUGAUAGACUGUAAACCAGAACUACUCAGAACUACAUGUAUCUACAGAAUAAACCUCACAUAAUGUUGAACAAAGAUAGCAAGUUGCCCAAGAAUAUGUUCAAUGUGCUAUCAUACAUAAAGUUUAAAUAUAUGGAAAAUACUAUAUAUAGUUAAGGGAUACAUAUAUGUAACAAGGUAUGAAGACUGGCAUAGGAAUAACCUCUACCAAAUUUAGGUUAAGGGUUUCAUCUUUAGAGAAAGAAAGGGGAGAAGCUGGAAAGGUAGAAUAGAGGGAAUCAAUUCUAUAUGUAAUGUUUAAUUUUUUAAGCUGGGAUGUGGUACCUGGCUGUUCGUUAUGUCACUUUCUGUACUUUAUGUUUAAACCAUUUCAUAAUAUAAAGAAAGCUACUUGCAGAUUUGAAAGAAUUACAGAUUAUACAUGCUGAUAUGGACAAACUACAUGCAAUGAGGCUCUAAUAAAAUAAAACCAGAGUUAGAACAAAGAAAGAAAAAAGAGAAGAAAUUGGCCAGUAAAAAACCUUAAGUGACAUACACAAAUGAAAAUUAUCUAAUUGUGAGAAAACAUCAAACAAAUCACAACUGAGGACAUUUGACAAAAUACCCGACAAGUUCUUCUGGAAAAUAUCAAUGUCAUCAAAACCAAGGAAAGUCUGAGAAACUGUCACAGCCAGGAGGAGUCUAAGGAGAUAUAAUGUGGUAUCGUGGAUGGAAUUCUGGAGCAGAAAAAGACAUUAGAUUAAAGCUAAGAAAAUCUGAUUAGCCAAAGUAUGGGCUUCAGUUAAUAACAAUGUAUCAGUGUUGGUUGAUCAAUUGUGACAAAGUUACCAUACUAGUGUAAGGUGUUAACAAUAGGUGAAACUCAGGGUGAGGUAUAUGAAAAUUCACCGUACUCACUCUGCAACUUUUCUGUAAAUGUAAAUCUAAUCUGAUAGUUUUUUAAAGUAAAAAAUACAAAACAAUAGAGCAACAUCUGGCAUGCUUGUGUCCUGCUGUGUUGCAGUAGCCAGUGCAUAACAUCAACUGUGUCAUGUUCUUGACAAACAAUUUAACCUGAAUGUAAUUAUUAAUAAACCAUCAAAGAAAUAAAAACUAGGGGUCAUUCUGCUAAAACCUGGCCUGUCCUCUUAAAAAAAAAAAAAAAAAAAAAAAGGCUGGAUGCGAUGGCUCAUGCCUGUAAUCCCAGUAAUUUGAGAGGCAGAGAUGGGAGAAUUGCUUGAGCUCAGGAGUUUGAGACCAGCCUGGGCAACAUAGCAAGAACCCAUUUCUACAAAAAAAAAAAAAAAAAAAAAAAUUAAAAAUGAGUCAGGGAGAACUAGCUACUAAGGGGUUGAGGGGAAAGGAUCAUUUGAGCUCAGGAGUUUGAGGCUGUAGUGAGUGCACUCUAGCCUGGGCAACAACAACAACAACAGCAUAUGUCUUAAAAUGUUUAUUUAAAAAAAUAAGAAAAAAUUUUAAAAGAAUAAAAAAACGAAUGACCAUUUUAGAUUUCUGAAGACUGGUGAUGCACAGCAAUCAACUGUGAUGUGUCAAACUUGACUGGAUCCUGAAUUGAAAAAUAACAGCUACCAAAAGCCAUUUGAGUGCUCAUUUGAGAAAACUGCAUUUGGAAUGUUUAGCAGAUUCUUGCAAUUCAAAGUGUGGUCCGCAGACCAACAGCAUCACCAUAACCUUGGAGCUUGUUAGAAAGGUAGAACAUCAGCCCUCAUCACAGACCUACUGAAUCAGAAUCUGCAUUUUGACAAGAUCCUCAGGUGACUUGCAUGCUUAAUAAAGUCUGACAAGCACCAUUUUCUGUGGUAUUAUACAAUUGUUAAUUGUCUCAAGUGUGAAACUGUGUCAAAAUGCCUUAAUUCUUAGAAAAUGCAUGUUGAUGUGGUUAGGGGUAAAGUGCAAUGGAUGUCUGCAACUGACAUUCAAAUAGCACAGAAAACAAAAGUGUAUGAGAUGAAGUAAAAGUAGCAGGAUGUUAACAGUUGAUAUUAGGUUAGUGCAACUAAUGGCAAAAUUGCAAUUUCUUUUGCACCAACCAAAUAAAUUGCAGUGAGGGCUAUACAAGUGCUUAUUGCACUAUUUUUCAUCUUUUAUGUAGAUUUUAAAUUUCCAUAAUUUCAAAUGUAGAAGAUUUUUAUGGACUGUCUUUAAAUUUAAAAAUCUAUUUUGAGGAAAGUUGACAUGUUGACAACAUUGAGUUUUCUCAUCAAUGAAUAUGGUAUAUCACUCUCCAUAAUCAAGUUUUCUUCUUUGUCCUUCAGCAAUGUUGAACACUUUUCUUUACAGAUUUUAUACAUUUAUUUUCAAUUUACAUUUACUCCUGAACAUUUUACUGUUUUGUUGUUGCAAUUGUGAAUGGAUUCUUCUCAGUCAUAAUUCUAACUGACUAUUGCUGGUAUAUAGAAAGCUAUUUAUUUCAGAAUAUUUUUCUUGUAAUUUGUUACCAUGCUAUAAUCUUUUAUUUUUCCAAUAAUUUUCAUUCAUUUUCACGGAUUUUUAGGAAGACAAUGAUAGCAUCUGAAAAUAAUACAAAGUUUGUCUUUUCUAAUAUUUUUAGAGGUUUUCUGAAAACACGGUUUAUUAAAUUGGUUUCCUGCACAACAUUAAAUAGUAGUGAUAGUGAGUAAAAUUGUCUUCUUCCUGACUUUAAUGGAAUAGCCUCUAGUGUUUCACUGUUAAUCUAACAUUGCUUUGGAUUUCUGUUAUAUCGUUUUUAUCAUAAUACUCUCUAAUAGCCUUUAUUUAAUUAGAAAUGCCUGUUAAAUUAUAUUAUGCUCCUUUUGGCAUCUUCGGAAAUGAUUUCAUUGUUUUUGUCUCUUGUAAUUUAUGAAUAUAAUAAAUUUCUUUAUAAUAAGCUAUAUUUUCCUUUCAGAAAUAAAAACUCCUUUGUCAUAUAUUAUUCUUUAACAUACUGUUGAAUGUAGUCGUACUGACAUUUUACUUUUUCAAGCUAUAUUCACUACUGAAAUUUGUGUAUAAUAUUCUUUUCAUUUGUUUUCUUUGUCAGGCUUCAGUAUGAGUGUUAAUAUAAAUAAUAAUGUUCCUCACUAAAGGUUGCUCACUACAU
rnacentral:lncRNA from 1 species